rfam:Picea glauca, whole genome shotgun sequence.
GCAUGCCUAUAACAUAGUGUUAAUGCACUAGAUCCCAUUAGAACUCUACAGAUAAGCACGUUUAGGCUAGAGUAGUACGGGGUUGGGUGAUCGCCCGAGAAGUCCUAGUGUUUUACAUGCC